UACGGAGGGAGCUAGCGUUGUUCGGAAUUAUUGGGCGUAAAGAGCUCGUAGGCGGUCUGUCGCGUCGGCUGUGAAAACCCGAGGCUCAACCUCGGGCCUGCAGUCGAUACGGGCAAACUAGAGUACUGCAGGGGAGACUGGAAUUCCUGGUGUAGCGGUGAAAUGCGCAGAUAUCAGGAGGAACACCUGCGGUGUAGACGGCUUACUGGACCAUAACUGACGCUGAGGCACGAAAGCGUGGGUAGCAAACAGG
rnacentral:rRNA from 1 species